rnacentral:rRNA from 1 species
UACGUAGGGGGCAAGCGUUGUCCGGAAUCAUUGGGCGUAAAGAGCGUGUAGGCGGCCCGAUAAGUCCGCUCUGAAAGUCCAGGGCUUAACCCUGGAAAGCGGGUGGAUACUGCCGGGCUAGAAUCCGGAAGAGGCGAGUGGAAUUCCUGGUGUAGCGGUGGAAUGCGCAGAUAUCAGGAGGAACACCAAUAGCGAAGGCAGCUCGCUGGGACGGUAUUGACGCUAAGGCGCGAAAGCGUGGGGAGCAAACAGG